rnacentral:rRNA from 1 species
CCUACGGGUGGCAGCAGUGAGGAAUAUUGGUCAAUGGGCGCGAGCCUGAACCAGCCAAGUAGCGUGAAGGAUGACUGCCCUACGGGUUUUAAACUUCUUUUAUAAAGGAAUAAAGUGAUGCGCGUGUGCCUUUUUGUAUGUACUUUAUGAAUAAGGAUCGGCUAACUCCGUGCCAGCAGCCGCGGUAAUACGGAGGAUCCGAGCGUUAUCCGGAUUUAUUGGGUUUAAAGGGAGCGUAGAGGGGUUGUUAAGUCAGGUGUGAAAGCUUGCGGCUCAACCGUAAAAGUGCAAUUGAUACUGGCAGACUUGAGUACAGUUGAGGUAGGCGGAAUUCGUGGUGUAGCGGUGAAAUGCUUAGAUAUCACGAAGAACUCCGAUGGCGAAGGCAGCUUACUAAACUGCAACUGACAUUGAGGCUCGAAAGUGUGGGUAUCAAACAGGAUUAGAUACCCGAGUAGUC